GGGUAGGUACUCAAGUGGACAACGAGAUCAGACUGUAAAUCUGCCGGCUUCGCCUUCGGAGGUUCGAAUCCUCCCCUGCCCA
rnacentral:tRNA from 1 species